UAAAUCAGAUAGUCGACUAUCUUGCCUUGCGGAAAAGUCCAGUUUUAAUGCGAAAUAUUGUUGGAAAUCAUGUAUAAAACUUACCUCAAGUCGAAACCUAGGUAAAAUCCUCUUACUCCCUCGUCCAAUAGCUCCAAAAUGUGCUCAACAAUGGUGGAAAAUGAUAUUUGCUCGCAGAUGAAAAAUGAUAAUUUAACCCUUCUGCCCAACUCGCUUUCCGCUUAUGCGGUCAACUGACCGCUCAUGCGGUCACCGCUUUUGCGGUCAACUUCCGCUUACGCGGUUACCGCCUAUGCGGUCUCCUUUAUGCUUACGCGAUCCAGGACAUCCCUUCAUUUUCCGAUUUUGCGGCUCACCCGGUGGGUCUGCGGUACCGCUUAAGCUGCUCCUUUUCUGCAGCGCGGAAAUAGCAGAAGCAGCUCACCUAAAACAUGCCACAACUCCUACAACCACCGAUCAACCAUCCGGAAUUACCCUGAGGCCCCCAGGGCCCCAACCAAAACCACCAGCCUAUUCCAAAACAUCAUAAGAACAUGUUCCAAUCAUAAAAACACAUCCAACAAUACAAAAAUCAUCAAUUCACGAUGGAUUCAAGCUUAAGUUAAACCAAUACUUUCAAAGUUCUCAUUCGACCAAAAACCCGACCAAACGACGUUCGAUUGACCUGAACAUUUGCAGAAAUAACUAAAAUAACCUAACAAAGCUACAUAAACUCUCGAAAUUCUAUUCCAACCCCAGAUUAAAAUCUCACCUAUCAACCGGAAUUCGCCGAAAUUCAAACCUAGCCAAUUCAAGCCUAAUUCUACACCGAACCACCAAAUUCAGAUCCGAUUUCACCCCUAAGUCAUAAAUCACCACCCAAAACUAGCCGAACCGUCGGAAAUCCAUUCUGAGCCCAAUAACUCAUAAGUCAACAUCCUGUUGACUUUUCUAAACUAGCCUUCUCUUAAAGAGACUAAUUGUCUCAAUUCCAUCCAAACUCUGUCCAAAUCACUUCAAACACAUAAAAUGGAGCAUAUAGAAGCAUAAAAUGGGGAAGACGGGGUGGUAACUCACAUGAUGAUGGGCCGGGUCAUCACAUCCUCCCCAACUAAAACAAACGCUCGUCCUCGAGCGGGUCAAGAAAUAUACNNN
rnacentral:lncRNA from 1 species